GCAGUGGUGAUUCAAUGGUAGAAUUCUCACCCUCUGUACAGGAGACCUGGGUUCGAUUCCCGGCCAAGGCA
rnacentral:tRNA from 1 species